UUGGCCCUCAGUCUGCACCAUGUUGUACAGACCACAUACAUGUCAGUCACAUGUCAUCACUUCCUGCUUUGACACUUCUACAUAUUCAGAGAAGCUGUCUGAACUUACCACGUGCAUUGCUAUGGAAAAAGAGCCUGCAGAAGAGAAGCUUCAGUGGACAGAUUUCUCUUCCAGCUUAGAAGAGACAUAGACUAAAGAAGGUGAAGAACUGAACUUCAAUUACCAUAGCAUUCACAAAGCGAAGCUGUAAACUCUUCACAGUUUGUCCCCUCCCCUCACCUGCAAUCUCACUUGAAUGAUAAAGACUUGAUUUAGUGUC